UACGGAGGGUGCGAGCGUUGUCCGGAAUCACUGGGCGUAAAGGGCGCGUAGGCGGCCUCUUAAGGGUGCGGUGAAAGUCCGGGGCUCAACCCCGGAUCGGCCGUGCCGACUGAGAGGCUGGAGCACUGUAGAGGCGAGUGGAAUUCCGGGUGUAGCGGUGGAAUGCGUAGAUAUCAGGAGGAACACCGGUGGUGUAGACGGCUCACUGGACCGUAACUGACGCUGAGACACGAAAGCGUGGGUAGCAAACAGG
rnacentral:rRNA from 1 species